GUGAACGCUGGCGGUAGGCCUAACACAUGCAAGUCGAACGGCAGCACAGUAAGAGCUUGCUCUUACGGGUGGCGAGUGGCGGACGGGUGAGGAAUACAUCGGAAUCUACUUUUUCGUGGGGGAUAACGUAGGGAAACUUACGCUAAUACCGCAUACGACCUACGGGUGAAAGCAGGGGAUCUUCGGACCUUGCGCGAUUGAAUGAGCCGAUGUCGGAUUAGCUAGUUGGCGGGGUAAAGGCCCACCAAGGCGACGAUCCGUAGCUGGUCUGAGAGGAUGAUCAGCCACACUGGAACUGGGACACGGUCCAGACUCCUACGGGAGGCAGCAGUGGGGAAUAUUGGACAAUGGGCGCAAGCCUGAUCCAGCCAUACCGCGUGGGUGAAGAAGGCCUUCGGGUUGUAAAGCCCUUUUGUUGGGAAAGAAAAGCAGCAGGUUAAUACCCCGCUGUUCUGACGGUACCCAAAGAAUAAGCACCGGCUAACUUCGUG
rnacentral:rRNA from 1 species